CCCCCACACUGGCACUGGGACACGGGCCAGACUCCUACGGGAGGCAGCAGUGAGGAAUAUUGCGCAAUGAGCGAAAGCUAGACGCAGCAACGCCGCGUGGGUGAUGAAGGCCUUCGGGUCGUAAAACCCUUUUCUGGGGGAAGAGUAAGGACGGUACCCCAGGAAUAAGCCUCGGCUAACUAUGUGCCAGCAGCCGCGGUAAUACAUAGGAGGCAAGCGUUAUCCGGAUUUACUGGGCGUAAAGAGCGUUGAGGCGGCUUCGUAAGUUGGACGUGAAAGCUCCCGGCUUAACUGGGAGAGGCCGUUCAAUACUGCGGGGCUUGAGGACAGCAGAGGGGGGUGGAAUUUCCGGUGUAGUGGUGAAAUGCGUAGAUAUCGGAAGGAACACCAGUGGCGAAGGCGGCCCCCUGGGCUGCUCCUGACGCUGAAGGCGAAAGCUAGGGUAGCGAACGGGAUUAGAAACCCCGGUAGUCCUAGCCGUAAACGAUGGAUACUAGGUGUAGGAGGUUAAAAUUCCUUCUGUGCCGGAGCUAACGCGUUAAGUAUCCCGCCUGGGGAGUACGGUCGCAAGGCUAAAACUCAAAGGAAUUGACGGGGGCCCGCACAAGCAGCGGAGCGUGUGGUUUAAUUCGAUGCAACGCGAAGAACCUUACCAGGGCUUGACAUGUAGGUAGUAGUGAAGCGAAAGCGGAACGAUCCUUCGGGAAGCCUACACAGGUGCUGCAUGGCUGUCGUCAGCUCGUGCCGUGAGGUGUUAGGUUAAGUCCUGUAACGAGCGCAACCCCUGCCGUUAGUUACAAGUGUCUAACGGGACUGCCCGGCAAAACUGGGAGGAAGGUGGGGAUGACGUCAAGUCAGCAUGGCCUUUAUGUCCUGGGCUACACACACGCUACAAUGGCCGGUACAAUGGGUUGCCAAGCCGCGAGGCGGAGCCAAUCCUCUAAAGCCGGUCUCAGUUCGGAUUGUAGGCUGCAACCCGCCUGCAUGAAGUUGGAGUUGCUAGUAACCGCAGGUCAGCCACACUGCGGUGAAUACGUUCCCGGGCCUUGUACACACCGCCCGUCACGUCAUGGAAGCUGGUGACACCUGAAGCCGGUGAGCUAACCGCAAGGAAGCAACCGUCGAAGGUGGGAC
rnacentral:rRNA from 1 species